AUAAAUAUUAAAAAUUUCAUCGUCUGUAUUACAACAAUGAUUCGAGCAUUGUCCGUUAUUACAUGACUCUUGCAAUUCUCCAGUAGAUGAAGUAUAACAUUCUUCAUGAAGAACCCUGAGGUCUUCACUUGUUGAUGACACAUCUUCCUUAGUUUCAGAUAUUUCUGGGGAAGAAUUUAAAAGAAUCUUAUAUAAAGAAUCUUUGAUAUAAUCAUCUAAGUCAAAUUCUUUGAUUUUAUCCUUGACCUUACAAUCCUAAGCAAACUGGCCUAGUCUUCCAUAUUUAUAACAAGCCUGAGGAUUUUUUUGAUUUAACAAAACCCUUCUUGGCUUUAUGAAAGGCCUUUCUCCUAUGAUUUUUGGCUCUGAUACAAAAGUUUCACAUGAUCCACUCCGUUUGAGUUGCCCAAGAAAAUAUAUUACGAAGACUCCACCCCUGACAUAGCUACUGACCUCUAGAUUAACCUUAAAUCACGAUGCUCCUCACAACCCUUUAACAACUAUCUGCCUAAACGGGUUUUACUAGAACCACCAGUUAAGUUGGCCUAACCAAGAUUUACUGUCGAUAUUAGUAACUGCCUGGCCUAUAUAGUUCUGAACCUAUAAUCUCAUCGGAGUAAUAUUGAAUGCUCUUGGUUCCAAAAAAAGUUUAGUAAAUAACUUUUGAAUUCUAAGUUUAACACUUAAUUAUUUAGCCUAUCAUUUAGGCUAACAGUAAUAUAAAGAAUGCAGGGAGAGAGAUAGAGAGAAAAUACUACCGGAGACCUUUUGUUUUGUGGCCAAGCAAACUUUUGAUUUUUAUUUCGGAAUUCAUAUUAUUACUAAGAGAUUUUUACAAGAGAGUGGAGAGAGAAACUAGAGAGAAGUCAG
rnacentral:lncRNA from 1 species